GACGAACGCUGGCGGCGUGCUUAACACAUGCAAGUCGAACGGAAAGGCCUGCUUUCCCUUGUGGAUUGCGGGUACUCGAGUGGCGAACGGGUGAGUAACACGUGAGUGAUCUGCCCCCAACUUGGGUAUAAGCCUGGGAAACUGGGUCUAAUUCCCGAUAGGACUGCAGGGUGGUGCCUGUGGUGGAAAACGAUUUUCUAGUGGUUGGGGAUGAGCUCGCGGCCUAUCAGCUUGUUGGUGGGGUAAUGGCCUACCAAGGCGGCGACGGGUAGCCGGCCUGAGAGGUUGGACGGCCACAUUGGGACUGAGAUACGGCCCAGACUCCUACGGGAGGCAGCAGUGGGGAAUAUUGCACAAUGGGCGGAAGCCUGAUGCAGCGACGCCGCGUGGGGGAUGACGGCCUUCGGGUUGUAAACUCCUUUCGACCGCGAGGAAGCCACCUGGUUGGAAGGGUGGUGACGGUAGUGGUAGAAGAAGCACCGGCUAACUACGUG
rnacentral:rRNA from 1 species